UCCAGGCUGACUUCUACCACACUGCAACGUGGUGCUGUACUGUACAGAAUUAGAAGGCUGCAUUGCAAUCACAUCUGUUUCGAACUCCUGUAUUAAAUAAACUCUUUCAGAUACAAGAAAAAUCACAUCUGCUCCAGACAAUUUUAUGUUGGUGUGAAGAAUGGUUUGGAACAAAUGAGCUGUAAUGGUAUAAUAGCUGAAGAUUAUAAGUUCAUGACUUGUCUUGAAGACAAGACUUUUGAGGAAUGGCCGAGGUCACUUGGUUUGUUCAGCUUGAGGAAGAGAAGACUGAGGUGUGACCUCGUCGCAGUCUACAGCUUCCUAAGGGGGGACAGUGGAGGGGGGAGGUGCUGAUCUCCUCUCUGGUGACCAGCGAUGGGACACAAGGAAAUGGAAUGAAGCUGUGUCAGGAAUCAACAUUCUUGUUUCAUUUGAACAACUACAACAGAUGCAAGACUGAAGAAAUUACUAGGCAAAACUCUACAACUUCGUGUGUUCCAGUGCCAGCACUGCCAAGAGUGAGAGCGUUUGCCUUAAAGACAAAGGCUUUCCCCUCUUAAAGGCUUUAUACAGAGAAAUAGAGGAGGGAAUAGUCACCUUUCCUUCUCAGUUUCCUCCAGCAGUUCACCUGUGGCAAAAUUCUCUCACCAUGUUCAGUCCCUAAUUCGGCGAUUAAACACUGCACCAAAUGGCUCAGAUGACACGCGUAGUAAUCUGAUCUUGUGCCCUGCCUGAACACGCAGCAAACCAAACGUAUGUCACCAAAGAUGUGGCUGCCAGCCUUUGCUUUGUGUAGUCCACGGAUUUGGCAGCCCGGUGCUUCGGAGAUCAGGACAGAGAAAUUGGCACAAGCAUGGAGUGAAAUCUGCUCCAGACGCCUCGCUGACGUUCGACUGAAGGUGCCACUGCUGUUUGCCUCACUUACACAACUUCAGGAUGGACUCACUGUUUUAAAAUAGCAAGUUUUGAAUGUGGUUAUUACCACACUGUGUUUUGAAGCCAUGAGACUGAAGAGUCUGGAAAGAUUAUCUAUGUAUUAAAUGAGUUCUCCGAUACUGCCAGUGAUAAAACCAUCAUGGGUUCAUUAAUGAUGACAGCAGUAAAUCUUUUCCCAAACAAUUUGUCGAUAUGUUUCUGCUCUAAGUUUGAUCCCUAAGCAAUGGGUGAUUUAUCUGGUUUAACAUAAUUUAGUUGGUAGGAUUAUGUCAGGAAAAAUCACGAACUAACCUAAAUUAAGUAUCUGUGUGGUUCGGUACUGUUUACAAAAUCAAAUCAUAAAGUACAAGCUAAUCACAGGUUAAACUUUUAGGAUUUUUUCAUAUAAAUUUCUAAUGUAAAUUGUAAUGCUUUAAUACAUUUUUUUCUAACUGAUUUAAAUGCUAACAUUACCUUUUAACUACUAGUAAAUUAAAAAUGUUUUUUGAAGUUCUGCUUUAUAUCAUGAUUUUGACGCUUUUUCCAGGUCAAAUGUUACAUACUCUUCCAUGGCUUAUAAUCCAUUUAUAUAUGUUUAGUUGUGUACUUUUUCUUUUCUGAAUAUAAUACCUUUGGAGAUUUAUUUUCCGUAAGAGAUGUAUGAUAGUUCUUAUUAGACACAGCAUUAAUGUGCGUUUUAGAUUAAUUUUUUUUAAUUCUUAUCAGUGGUUUUUAUCCUUUACAUCACUCUUAUAUUUUAUAUGAAAUUUAUAUAUUUAAAAUUUUUCUCAAGUAGGUAAAUAUUGUUAAAUUGUGGUCCAAUUUCCCUCAAAGUUAUUGGUUAUGGUAGCAGCAUAUUUAUAAUAACAUUUAAUAGCACAUACAUAAAAAUGUAUAAAAUGAUAAUGUGUUACAAUACAAAACAAUUUGAUUUAAUAUAUGAAAACAAGGAGUCUGAAAUUGUGUUUAUUCUAAAAUUUUACAUCUUGGUUAGGUAAUCACUGGCCUACCUGUUUUACCACGCUAAGAGUAAGCGUGAUUAGCUGUUAUUCUUAUAUCGCUAACUCAUUAUUCUCUGAAAUACAAAUUUAGGAGAAUCCUGGCUUCUCAUCUGCAAUAAGAUACAACUUGAGUGUUUGAAGCAGUAGUGACAUCUUUCUUUGGGCAAGAUAAAAUUAUAAUAGAUAUUUUAUGGAUAUCUUUUAUAUUCUUACAGGUUACUUUUGGAGUAAAUCAGGUGCAUGCUUUAAAUUGUAUUAUAAGAAAGGUUCUGUUGUUGAAUCACUAAAUGGGGCUCUGAGACACUGUCCUUUGUCAAAACAAAACAAAACCAUGAGCUGCACACAGACAAAGUUCAAAGUAAAUCUGUUAACCUCUGAACCUUAGAUUGUCCCAGCUGUAAAACAGGAGAAUGAUACUUCCCUGUCUCAUUGGUGUGCUAUGUAGAUAAGUGUGUGAUGUGCAGUGUACAGGUGUCAUAGUUCUCUAUUAAUCUUUUGUCUUUAUGUGUGAGUGUUGGUAUGGCUAUUUCAUAAUCUCUGUAAUCCUCUGUUAUAUCCUUUGCUUUUUGAUAUUUGCUUUUAAUUACUCAGUCUUUAUGGGCUGGAGUGGGUUCAUCCUCAUGCUAAAAUUACUUUUUUUGUCUAGAUAUUCCUAGUUUUUCCAAGUCUUGUUAGCCUGUUUUUUUCCCCAGAGUGUUUCAUGAAAUCUGUUGGCUUAUUAUGUGGUUACUGCAGAAAUGGUCUCUUCCACUCAGUACAACAUCAGUUCCCAUUUUACAUCAGUAUGCAUCCCAAAAUAAAACAUAAGCUAAUUUUGUGUAUUCUUAAGUGCUUAAGCAGUUUGUUAAUAAAAACUGUCAAGUGUUACUUCCAGUCAUUUUGAGCUAAAACCAUGAAUUCAGGAUGAGUCUCUUCUUUGGGUUCAGCAUCUGUCAGAGAAUGUUCUCUUGGAUUUCUGCUUCGUAGUCAAUUUCCCCUCUCACUGAGGAUCCCUGCUCCCAUUUGUUUCUUCAUCAUAAUUUAGAGACCUUGUUGACUGCAGAGGUGGACAGUCUCUCUUUAUGGCCGUGUUCUUCCUCGCAGGAUGCCAUCUUGCAUGUUGGAGAGGCAGCCUUCUAAUAGAAUUUCACAUUUCAGACAAGGCCUCUUAGGUGAAAAUAUCAAAGCGUUUUGUGAAGAUGGACAAAUAUCAGUAACUCAGAGACAUAGUCCAGUUGAAGGAGAUGCCCACAGUGACAGGCUGGCUAAGGCAAUUGCUCUUUGAAUACACACUAGCAUUUGUUCCCACCCCUUUUUAUCUGUUGGUUCAAUCAGGUGUUCACUUGACUCAAGCUGUGAAGUCUGCACCUGAAGCAUGCCUCAGCUAACCUGGCAUCUCUUUCACAGCAUCUCUUCAGUUGAAUUGGCCGAAUACUGGUCUGCAGCCCUUCUUACCACUAAACAUCUCUGUUGUACUUUAUUUUCACAUUGAUAUCACAGCAGAAGUUGCCUUCAAAAGCACAAAGAGACGUAGUUAGUCAUACAUUUGGAUUUAGCUUUUCCUUCCUGCUUCUGGUCUUUUUCCUUCUCUAGAGGAGUAUGAGAUUUGCAUAUGCUCUUUAAGGCUAAUACUUUACCUUCCCCACAGAUUCUUUUUAACAGAAUGGCUAAAAGCCUUUUGUGCUUCAAACCAAAGAAAGCACAAUGUAAGCUAGUGCAUUAUACAUAGAUUUUAUGGGGUUUUUUUUCAAAAUAUCAACUGCUAGAAGGAUUUUGGGUUUCUCUUCUGAACAGCAAACAGCUUCUAAGCUGCCCAAGCAGUUGAUUUUCCCCUGCAAAGAGGAGGAGAAAAUAUUUUGAUGAGGAACGUGCUCUUGCCAAAUGUUCUGAGCAUAAAGUUUUAUUAACUAGGAAUACUCAGAGCAUCUUAAAAUAUCAAGAAAAAUGAACGAAGGGGAAACUCUGUUUUGAGAUAGUCAUGAUCCUUUUUAUAUUCCCAGCUACAAGGAACACGAAAAUGGCAUAUCUUCUGGGAGACAACCGCUUAUGAGCAGGGUGCAGGAAAACAAGGCGAACCAGCAGGAGUUCUGGGGACAUUUGCAUUAACUGCAGAAGAGGUAUGAUCAAACCAGUUGCAGGUGUCAGAAUGUGGAAGGAACAAAGGAGAGAAGUGUCUGCUUGUACCAGCCUUGCACACACAACCUUCUGUCCCUGCCAUUUCCAAAGUAUAAUAUGGGUUUGUUAAACUUCUUUUUCUGUAAGAAGCUCUGUUAUCACAUUUGGCUUUAUAUUCCAGCCCGCUCCCAAUUCCAUAACCUGACACCACUUAAAUUCUUUCUCUGAUGACAUUUUCCCAAAGAAUCAGAAAGAGCACAAUUGCUUUCAUGAAGGCAAGAAAUCAAUAUGAUCAGUGAGAAGCGAAACAGGACUGACUUCAAAAGACCAGGAAGGAAUCAUAGUUGGAGGGAAGGGUAAUCCUGGCUGCUGCCAGCCCUGAGCCAUGUGGUUAGAAAGACUGAAGCUAAUCUUGAUGCUGCUUCCAGAUGCAAUGAGAGUGGCAAUGAGUGGCAACGUUAUUUCACUUGGUUCUAGAAGAUGGCAAGAUCAAUUCUUCUAAGGUAAUGAAGAGAUGAAUUUAUGACUCCUGUGCACAGCUGGUAGAGGUAAAUAAUGAAGUAAUUUUCUUGACUGGCUCUUACAAGCCAAUUGUACACAAAGGCACUGUCUUCUCAACACUGAGAGAAGACUUGAUUGCCUGACAAUAAAGACUAUUCCCCAAAAACCUAGUUCAAAAGUGGUAAGGAAAGCUUCCAUAAAUUAAAGGUAAAGAAUUGCUACUCUCUUUUCACGCAAAAUCCCACUGUGAGAUGUCUCAUUUAUUCUGGCUUAUUCCUUCCUUGGCAUCUUCUUUUUUUCCCCACUCUUUUCUUAACCCUCAUAUGAUUUUCUUCCACCACCUGGAAAGGAGAAACUCUAAAGUGAUUAACUUUCUAUUUGAAUGAACAUCUGCAUUCAGACAGGACAUAAUAGUUUACAUUUUGGAGAACUGAGUUUGAUAAAAAUAUCAGGAACUAUAACAAGUGAUCCUGGGUGUGAGGAUGAGAAGGUGUUUUCAAAGCUUCUUAAAACCUAUAAUGAACAAUUACACAAUAAAAACCACUGAAAUACAAUUAUUUUUUUUGCUGCUAAUAAUUAGAAAUUGACUAACAUUUAAAGUUGGAGGGAGAAGGGACCUGUAUCCCUUACUGUAACAUCCAAUUUACUGUGUCUGUGAUGGAUCCCUUUAUCUAUGUGGUCAUUCUUUUCCAAAUUCUGCUGAGUCUCUGUCUUCCGUAAUGGCAGUUUGUAAACUAUUUACAUUAAUAAAUUUUAAAUUUAUUUCUCUUCAGUUUUACUGAAUGAAGAUGGUUAAGUUGGCCUGGCUCUGUUUUCUUUGACACUCAUUAAAUGCCUUUAAUCUGUUCAGAUGGCUCUGCACAGAGUCAGGAUAUAAUGACCCUUCUAAUUUGUUUCAUUUCUAAAUUAUUCUUUACCUAUCUCUGGAGGUAUUUCCAAAUUUAUCUGCAGCCCUCCAAACUUCUACAGUAUUUCACUUUGAGUUGGAGUAUAUAGAAUGGAACACAAUAAUAUCUGGGAGAAUAUAAUUAACAUUCCUCCAGCAAAAUAUUUUCCAUUAUUUUCCGUCCACCUCUUCACCCACCUUACCAUUUUGAUGAUAUUUCUAUUAUAGCUAUUUCAGCACUAUUAACGUUUUCAGUGUGCUCACUUGCAGUGACAUGUCAAGACUUGUGCCUGAGUAGACACAGUUAAUUUAAAACUCAACAAUGUAUAUGACUCAUGCAAAUGUUCACAACGUGACUUGACUUGCACAAUUUUAAUCUACCAUUGUGCUGACAAAUCGCAUAAUAUUGUUUGGUUCUUCUAGACUUCCCUAAUUUAAAAGACUGGUGUCAUCAUCAAAUUUUGCAACAUCACCGUACAUCCUACUGUCCAGAGUGUAUACAUUCAACUGUGGGUUAAAAGCCUUUAGGCAUCCUAAUCAUGAGAGUUUUCUAUGAUGACAAUUGACAGCUUAUUCCAUUUAUUUCCAUUUAUCUUAGAAUAUUGUAAUGCAUAGAUCACGUUUCAGGAAUGUUAACUAACUGCCUAUGUAUCACUAUAUUCUUCCCCCAUGCACCUGGGGAGGCUAGUGUUAUCUCUGUUUUGCAUGUAAGGAAACUAAGACAGACAAGCCAGAAUAAAUGAGACAUCUCACAGUGGGAUUUUGCAUGAAAAGAGAGUAGCAGUUCUUUACCUUUAAUUUAUGGCAGCUUUUCUUACGACUUUUGAACAAGUUUUUUGGGAAUAGGUUCUGAGCAGGGAUCUUGUCAGCUGCAGGACACUGCUUGAGAGAGUAUGCAGUGAUCUUCAUGAUAGCCUUCACCAUAACUUGGAGUCCUGUUGGAGUUGUACAUCUUUUGUUUUUAGAAUAACCAGCUCUUAAGUACCUACAAUGGAGCUUCCUGUCCUGUGUAGCCUUUAAAGUGAAAACAUAAAUAAGCACAUAAAAUCACUGUAUUGUUCACAGCUCUGGACGUUAUUUUUGUAUUGGCAUUUUUGCUCACAUAGUCACUGUGUAUUGAAAAUGGAGUUUUUUCUCUCUAUAGGGUUUGUUCUAAGAAGUUGGUGCUGAAGGUCUAACACUCCCAAGUGUCAGGUUCUGCUGUAGUUCAAUGUAUUUAUUUACACUCUGGACAGGAGGACAUGCAGCAGUGAGGCAAAAUUUGCUAACAACUUACUCCUGACACCUUAUGUAUGCUGGAAAAGCUACACAUUACAUUUUGCUGCUGAUGCUUUUUGCCAUUUAGUCCAAUUUAUAUUCUGAGAAAACAGGAAGUCUUUUGUUAAAUAGCUAACAACUAGGAACUUCUCUGUUUGUAGUUUACUUGAUUAAUCCAAAACUGUUUUUCAGAUGUAAUGCUUCUCAGGUACAGCCUGCAGGAUCUACUACUUCUUCACAGUCAUGAGUUUGGUGGAGUACUUCUGUUUGUACUCAGUCCCUCCAUCCCUUUCAGGUCAACUAAAACAGCAUUAGAACAUGUUCUGUGGUUAUUAAGGACUGUUAUUACAUAUAGAACAGACCAUAUGAUAUGGUUAUUAUUGUUGACUAUAUCAUACCUAUGGAAAUAAGAAGCUAGUAAGAGAAUGAUAAUCUUAAAUCUCCUCAGCUUAUAGAUACCAACAAUGACUACAUAAAAAGAAACAGAGCUUUUGGGUUUGGAUCAAUAUUAAAAUUUUGGGUAUUUUCCACUAGUGAGGCUGUGAUUAUUUGGAAUACAUCUGUCUCCUAACUGCAAUGAUAUUUCAUAGUGAAAGUUUUGUGCUGGUUUUGGCUGGGAUAGAGUUAAUUUUUUUUUGUAGUAGCUAGUAUGGGGUUGUUUUGGUUUUGUGCUGAAAAGAGUGUUGGCAAUAUAGCAAUGUUUUCAUUACUGCUGAGCAGUGCUUACACAAAGCCUUUCCUGCUUCUCACCCCACCCCACCCCACCAGUGAGAAGGCUGGGGGUGCACAAGGAGUUGGGAGGGGGCACAGCCGGGACAGCUGACCCCAAGUGACCCAAGGGAUAUUCCAUACCAUAUGACAUCAUGCUCAGCAUAUAAAGCUGGGGGAAGAAGAAGAAAGAGGGGGAUGUUCAGAGUGAUGGCAUUUGUCUUCCCA